UCCCCAGGGAUUGGUGCUGGGUCUGGUCUUGUUCAAUAUCCUUUCGUCAGUGACCUGGAUGAAGGGAUGGAGUCCCCUCUCAGCAAGUUUGCUGAUGAUACAAAGCUGGGAGAAGUGGUUGACAUACCAGAAUGUUGUGCUGCCAUUCAGCGAGACCUGGGCAGGCUGGAGGCUUCGGCAGAGAGGAACCUAUUGAGGUUCAGCAAGAGCAGAUGUAGAGUCCUAUGCCUGAGGAGCAGUAACUGCAUGCAUCGAUGCAGGUUAGGGGACAACCUGCUGGAAAGAGCUCUACAGAGAAGGACCUGGGUGUCCUGGUGGGCAACAGGUUGGCCACAAGCCAGCAGUGUGCCCUUGUGGCCCAGAAGGCCAGUGGCAUCAUGGGGUGUGUUACAAAGAGCAUGGCCAGCAGGUUGAGGGAGGUGAUCCCUCUGCUCUGCUUUGGUGAGGCCACAUCUGGAGUGCUGUGUCCAGUUCUGGACUCCUCAGUUUAAAAAAAGAUAGUAAUAAUCUAGAGAGAGCCCAGUGGAGGGCCACAAAGAUGAUUCAGGGCCUGGAGCGUCUCCCUUAUGAGGAAAGGUGGAGAGCCCUGGGACUGUUCAGCUGGGGGAGGAGACAUCUGAGGGGGGAUCUUAUCAGUGCUUAUAAAUAUCUCAUUGGUGGGGGUCAAGUAGAUGGGGCCAGGCUCUUUUCAGUGGUGUGUGGUGACGAGAACAAGAGGCAAUGGGCAAAAAUGGAAACACAGGAAGUUGCAUCUGAACACGAGGAAAUACUUCUUCACUUUGAGGGUGACAGAGCACUGGAAGAGGCUGCCCGGAUAAACUGUGGAGUCUCCUCCUCUGGAUAUAUUCAAGACACACCUGGACACUUUCGUACAUAACCUACUGUAAGGAACCUGCUUCAGCAUGAGCUUCCAGUGAUUCAAAAGACAAUGAAGGAACAGAAGAAAGCGAUGAUGAAGGAAAAGUGAAAUAAAUUUAAUAUACUUUCACUAAUCAUUACAGUAUUUGGUUUUCCUAAUUUUGUUUGUUUCCUUGCAUGGCAAGUAAGUGAAAUUUUCCUGAAAGUAGUGAGAUUGAUUUUAGGCAGUACAGAUAGCUGAUACACGAUCUUCUGGCAUAUCUCUGUCAGUAUGCCUGUCUUAACUUUAAUUUUACAAGAUAUUUCAACCUUGGUCCUCAUUUACUUGUUAUAAGAAUGAUAGUGAAAUUGUUGUUAUGACUUUUAAAACACGUAUAAUGUUGUUCUAACAAUGGUUUCUUAGGUAGAGAUGGAAAAUAAAUAGUAGUUAAAGGUCAUGUAAGGAUAGACUAAGCAAGAUUAAGAGUAGCAGCAGCAAAACUAACCUGAUGGGAUGAUACAGCUUUCUGUAUCAGUGCAUGGACAUAACCUUUUUUUACCCUUGUUUUCACUUAGGAAAGCUAGAUAACUAUUCUGUCUAUCUCAUUACCAGUAAUUAUUUACUAAUUUUAUGACAUUAGCUACUGUUUCUCCAAGACUGUUUGAUUAACUUUUAUUUAUAUUAUUUCUUUCCUCAGGUCCUUUGGUUCUUCUCCUGAAGAAAGGUGUGCAUCUUAGCUCUACACAUGGAACCGUCACAAAAUGAAUCACAGAAAGCUGUGAGUUAGCAAAGUUAAUAAAUUCAUAAUAUCAAAUAGCAUCUCCACUUAAAAAACACUGAUUUGAUAUUUUUGUCAAAAUAAUCUUAACUUGAGGAAUUUUACUUAAUUGUAUUUUUAUUGCCAAUAAAUGCAAAUUUCUAAUCUCUAUAUUGAGGGGACCCUCCCACUCCCCCUAAAAAGUACAACCACUGGUGAAAAUAUAUAAGGAGUAAAACACUGCAGUAAGCAUCUUUCCUCCAUUUUAUCCAGUUUCCACAUAAGCCAAACACCUGUCCUCCCACCUCCUGAGCCUCUGAGCAACAUCCAGCGGUUGCUCUCUGUUUAUCCCAACUCCUUCAAAGAGGUGACAGGUGGUUCAGGAGGUUGGUGCUGUGUGCCUAAUGGUUUGUCUGUUGCUCCUCUGUGCUUCUUCCAGUUUCCCUCUGCUCCUAUGUGCUUCCUACUGGCCCUGUCCCAGCAUGGAUUGUCCGUGGGUUGCAGUCCCUCAGGGGUGAUCCUGUCCCAUUGUGGGUCUGUUGUGGCCACGGUCCCACAGCUGGGAUUUUAAACAAUUGCGUACAUAGAUUCUAAUAGUUCUUGUUAUAAAUUAAAACUAUUUGAGGUUUGGAAGUUCCAUAAAUGUUUGCUUCCUGCUGUGAUUAUCCUUUGACUAAUGUUGGCGGUUGUUUGAAUCUACACCUUGUUACUUCUUUCUCCUGUUUUGCUAGUCUGUAGUAGACCAACUGUCAGGGUAUUAAUCUCCCUCUUUUUUCAGCACUUAACAAACUCAGGGGCUUUCCAGAGAUCUAUCUCUUAUCCCUUUCUGGACUCCAGUCAAAAUAUUUGAAUUGUUGAUGUAGAAUACAGCAACUGAAUUAUAUGCUGUAGGCAUAUCUGAACUGUGACUGAAAAUCCACAGGAAUCAGUGUAAUUCUAGAUUGAUUCUAUUGGGAUAGAGGGAUUCUGAGGGAUUUCCAACAAAUGCCAUUCUUUUUCUGUGGGAUCCUUUGGCUGAUGAUAUUUGCUCCCCAGCAGUGAUGUUACUUUAAGUAUGUAUAAUCUUGAUGGACUCACCUUCAAUGAAUGGUUAUACACCCAUUUGUAUAUGUGUAUGCAAUGUCUCAGAACUGGAAUUACCAUCUGUGAAAUGAGCAAGCCAAAAGCGAUUAUUGCAGUGGACUGCUCAACAGAGGAACUUCAUGCUGUCCCAAAAGCACUGUUAAGGUUUCCUAAUGCCUACAAAGGCUGUGAAGUAUACAUGUCCUGAAUGCCUUGCAGUAUUUGUGCAGCAUUGCUAUUUCAAGGUCCGUAUUAGAGCUGAAAUAUCUACUAGGCUAAAAUUAUUCAUGUGUAAUACUCACAGUCUGGUAAACUAUUCAUGCUUAGUGUCAUUUUAUAAGCUUACAGAGAGUGAGACUAAUGAGGGGAAAAGUGCAGUUUGGUUCAGUGUAUUCCACAUCACUUUACAUUUAUUAGUGGGAAAAAAAUGGCCACUAGUAUAUUUCACACUUAAUACUAAUCCCACAUAUAUUUUUUUCUUUAUUCAGCACAAGUGUCCCAAGUAAAUUACUGGCUAACUUUUGAAAUUAAUAUGGAAGAAAAACCCACAAAUAACUAUCUGAUGAAACCCAUUAAAACCAUCCUUACAGAAAGCUGUGUUGUUGCAGUGAUAUUUGUUCCAACCAUAUGCAAAGAAAGAAAGAUGCAGAUACUUAAUUCAAAUAGAAGACUGUCUUCUGAUGGUGAUCAAAUCCAAAUGUCAUCUAUAUUUGUUGGGAAAAUUACUGAGGAUAUUUUAGAAUAUUUUGAGACACAAGAAAUGUAGCUCAAAAUAUAAAGAAAAUCUUACCACAGCAAUGAAUUGUUUUAAAUCUCUGGCAAGUUGCAAAGAUGAAAAAAUAAUAAUCUUAGAAAACAAGGAGGAAUACUCUGGAAAUAAUAAUCCUAAAUACACCCACGUGUUACAGCUCUGCAAUUUAUUAGCAUCCAGAAGUAGUAAGUAAUUAAUAUUCGUAAAUUUAGCUCAGUAAUUUAAACAGUGUAGAAAAAUCCUACACAGAUGUUACUGUAUUCCUGGAGAUGUGAUAUACUGAAGAAAACUUUGAUUGCAUUGCAUUCUGUCAGCUAAUUCACAAAUGUCUGUAUAUGUAGCCAGUUUUAGUAUCGCAGUGGUAUUUCCUAUCUUAUAAAAUUAAUUCAUGUUGUAUCAUUGUAUCUUACAGUACUCGUUACCUGAAGAAGGCUGAUAGUACAAAUUGGGCCUCCUGAGGCCAAUUGCAGGAUGCUUUGGUUGGAGCCAGUUUAUCUGUGGUAUCAAAUGUUGCAGCCAGUUCUAACAUAGUUUAUUUUGGCAAGAUUUCCUGUUUUUGCAUUAAAGAUUUGUGAAAACGAAGAAGCACUGUUCCUUCAAUGUUUAUAGGAAGGAGCAGAGCCAUUCUCAAGAGGCCGCUCUGCCAACAGGAGUCCUCCUGAGGACAGUGUCCUCCUGCUUCUGCAGAAGUUGGGAACCCUGGACCAACCUUCUGGGCUUUGAGUUCCUUCAGGUCCCUGCAGCGUUAUGUUACGGCACAUGGUUUUGUUAGCUACGUGUUUUUCAAAGCUUGAUUUAUUUGAUUAAUUGAACUAAUACAGCACCACAGAACCACGCUAGACCUGGAGUCAGUUUCUACCUUCUUCUGCCUCAAGAGUCCCAAGAGACCUCUGAGCUGCUUUCCCACUGCUUUUGUGAGGAGCGAGCUCCUCCUGCCACAUCAGUCCCGGGGCUGCAACUAAUUCUUCAAUCCAUUAAUUUCACAACCUGCUCCCUGUCUUCAUCUGCAGGGACCUCACAAAUGGGCUUACGUGGGUGAACCAUCCAUCUGGGCUGGCUGCAGUCUCCCAGCCAUUACUGAGGUAGACCCAUCAGCAUCGUGCCCUCACCAGCUCCCAUGGAUUGCCAGAAGAUGCUGAGGGGUCUCUGUAAAGAAGCUGCAGGUGAAACCUCUGCCUGCAAGCAGAACCUGCUCACAUGGAAAGAACUUGAUCUCUUUCCACCCACAAAGUUGGUAUCUGAAAAAAGCUUUGCUUUUACUUGGGCCAAUAGGAUCUAAGGAAAUAGCUAUUAAAAAAAAGUAAGUAUUUCUCUAGUUUCUAGUUUUCCUUUCCUUUUCCUUUUUGUGCGAGUGGAGGUGGAGGGAAUGAUCCUGGGGCAUAUGUUUCAUUCAGCGUGCCUGUGCCUUGAGGAAGGUCCUGUUCAGGUGCAGAAAGCAAUUUUUAAACUCUUUUUGAGCUGCAGCAGUGGAAAGCAUGGUAGACUCAGCAGUGGGGAAGGUCAGUGAUUUUGGUACUUCCAUGCAAGACCUCUAGAUAGUGCAAUCAAAAAAUGGACUACAGAAGGCAGAAAACUACAAGGACUGAAGUAAAUAUUUUGAUCAGCCUAACACCUGCUGAGCCUUUUUGUUUGUUAGCAGUUGCUUGGUUUGAUAAUUUCUGGAGGGCAGUUGAGUAAAGAACAGCUCAGUCCCAGCAGGUGAUUUUUGCAUCUCUUUGCACCAGCAGUCAUGGCUGAAAACAUCAGACCUUUUGACCUGCAGGUUUGUUGUAAUAUCAUUGUGUUGUAUGAAUUUGUAACUAUGAUUUUUUGACUGUUUCUUCUAGACAACAGUAAUGGAGUAGGGACUGUGAUUUACGAGAAAGACAACAUUUUAUGUAAAAGUUCAUAUGGCCUAAGAACUACUCAUGUUUUUUAAAUAUGAAGAGAUACUGCUCAGGAUCACAACUUGCAUUUAUUGAUUCUCUCCCCAUAAAAAAGUGUAGUCAUGAUCUAUUGUCACAUUAAAGUAGUACUUGGAAGAUUGUUAUGGAAUAAGUUAUCAGGUACAGAAAUGUUUUUAAAAGACCAUGUAUAGCUGUGAGAAAUACACUUUUAAGUUUAUUAGGCUUGCGUUUAUGCAUAUAAAUGAGCAAGCUGGUUUUCAUUAUAUCAGUAGUUGUUCAUGUUUACUGUCUUCAGAAACAAGCUGGUAAAGUUACAGAAGUAUAAAAGAAUUUUCUGGAAAAAAAAGAAAAAGGAAAAGAAAAAGUUUGUAUUCCUGACCUGUGUUCCAGAACAUUAAGAUGAUGGAUUAUUUAAUAUUUUCUCAGCAGUUAGAAGAGGUGAAGUGCCACAUCUGCUAAAAUCCUAAGUAACAAGCCAAUGUUAUUACAUGAUGUUAUUACUAUGACUGUUAAAAUUUCAAGCUUAUUUUUAUUUUGCGUGUUUCCAAAAUGAACUGAGAAUAGUGACUCAACUAAGAAAAUAUAGCAAACAUUUUUUAUACCUUUUCAAUUACUCUGUGUUUAUCAGCCUCCUUGUGUAUGAUUCAUUUUUAAUAAUCAACUUUUCCUGUGAUAAUUCUUUAUAAGCAUUAUUUUUCACAUUCAAAGGAACUUAUAUUUCUGAAAACAAAGACAAAUUAUACUUGUGGGCAAAAAAGACUUCAUCAUUUUCUGAAACUUCACAUAUCAUACUGAUGAAUGAUUAGGAUCCACAAUCAGUCAUUUUGAGAUGGAGAUCUGCAUAAGUGUUCCCAAACAUCAGUAAACAUUUAAAAUCACACAGGAGCUCUCACUGAAGAUUUAACAGCUUGUUGGAGUUAGAUUAGACUGUAAAUAACUGAAGCUACCAGAAGAAAAUUCCCUUUUUGUUUCUGUCCAUAGGUUGCCCUGGGCUAUGGUGGAUAUCCAAAAGGGGAAACAAAUAGUUUGUUUUCCAAGAAGGCAGAGGUUGACUUAGACCGAUGUGCAAUUGUAUGUGCAGAAGCUAAUGCAAUUAUUAUGAGUUCUGUGAGAGACCUGAGUAGCGCUGAACUUUGUCACCCCACGUAAGCCUUGCAGUGACUGUAUGAAACUGGUUGACUCAAAGGAGACAGCAAAAGUCGUUCUGCCGAAGAAAGAUGGAAAUGCUGGGUCAUGUGUGCCACUUCUGAGCUUGUUUGCACUGCGGAGUUGACUGCCAAGGAAACUACUUCUCACAGGAGUAUACAUGGGAAAGGUAGUUGCUCCCGUGGUGAAAGGGAAGAGGAUAGGAUGAUGGGUAGUGCUUACAAGCCAUUCUUCAUCUUCAGCAGAUAGGGAAGGUCCUGGGAUAGCACACCAAAGCACACAGACUUUAAAUGGAGCUUCAUUUCUCCCCUUGGCCGUAUGAUGUACAAUUUCAAACAAAUGGAAGACCUCCAGAGCAGGCUCUGCUCUUUUGUCCACUACCACAGGGUUAACGUUACCAACAACCGUUCUUCUCUCUUUGGGAAGACAUAUACCCCAUCUACAUAGCUUGUGCUCUGCUAAAGACAUGUACAGCUCCCUAGAAAUCCAGGGUCUACAUGCUUUUCUGUAUCACCAUCUAAACAUCCUGGCACUGACAGCUCAGACUUCUGAGAUUGUGGUAAGGACUUUAUUUAUAGUCAUUAUCAAAAACUUUAUCAUCUAAGGACAUUAUUUUCCAGUAGAAAACAUACUGUUUCAAGUAGUCAAACAAAAUUAUUGCUGGAAAUCUAAGUUUGGGUUUAUAUAUCACUGCCCUUAAAUUGUGUCAAAUCUUUGAGGCUACAUGAACAGAACUGUAUUUAAUGAAUGGAGUGCACUGGGAUAAGUACUGGCUUUCAUGGACUCUUGCAGUAAAGAGCUGUCUGUGUGGAUAAUAUGUGCACAGAACCCUCUAUGGAACUAAGACGUUAUUGGUGUCAGAUACUGUUAGUGGGGUUGUUUUUCCCUGAUAAAAAUGUAGCUCAUUAACUCAAGUUAUUUUUAAUAAGCUUGAUUUUGCAGAGCUUUUUGGCACAAGAUUAAUGUACAUCCUAGUUGCUUUUUUAUUUAUUUUUUAAAAAAGCCCAUCAAAUAAUACUAAAAUAGAAAUAUGAAAUCAGAAAGCUAUUUUAGAAAGUCAUGUUGUUUAAUGGUGCAUACUAUACAUUUCUCACUUAGUGUGUUUUUGUUUUUUUUUUAUCAGCAAGCUGGAGGAUUAAUGGAUGAUCCUUUGGGUAACGAUAACCAGAUAAGAUAAUAGCAAAUAUGAAAAGUACAAAUCAUAAUAUUUUUUUAGCUACAGUUAUGAAUGGCUCUGAAAUGUGACCAUGUCUGAGGAGGAGCGGUGAAAAUGAAAUGGAGCGAGGUCAUGGUGUGGGCUAAGUGUGAGACCAGGACGUGGGUGCGCUGAUUACAUAGGCUGUGGGGAAUGGGCCAGCUGUGGGGAACAGGGACAGCUCACACUAACUUGAAAGUGGCAAAGACACAAUGAUUGCAUCAAAUUGCAUAUGCUAUGCUGCAUAGGGUUUGCUUCAGCCUGUGGCUCAAGGGUGAGAAAUCAUUCGCUUUUCAUGUACCUCUAAGAAGUGCCCUCUGAUAGGCACAUAUCUAUUUUUAAAAACUUGUUUGUUUGGUUUUGUGCCGAGUUGAUAAUAUUUUGGACUGAGUUUGAUUUGCCAGUCCUUGAAACUAGACCAGUUAAUGUGGAACAUGCUUUCAUAUUUUUACAGGCUCAAUCAUUUAUAUCAUUUAGUUCUGAGACAGGGUUUUGCAGGCUGUGGUGCUGACAACUGCUUUUGUCCUUGCUUUUAGAUGCCGGCAACUGUAACACCAAUACUGGGAUUCUCUAGGGUGACCCUAAAUCCAGAAUAAUCUAUGUAAACCUUCUUUAUCUUUAAAAUGUCAUUAUGAGAAUGCUGUUAUUUGUGGCUUGGUGUCUUUCAGCAAUCAUUUCUUUUGCGCAACCUCUAUAGAGGACACUAAAGCGUUUUUAAUGGGAUUAAAUUGAAGAUUUUGUCACCUCCAAAAAAUGAAAUUGUUUGCGCUUUUCAAUGUAUCAUAUGUUUGUGUUCUCUUUGGAGAUGGCAAGCCUCUUUCUUCAGUUUCACCCUUGCCUUCUGUUAUCAGAUUUGGAAAUAUAUGUGGGCUUUCUGCUCGGUCUGGAAGCUGAGAAAGCAGCAGCAGAAAAAGUAUUUUGGUAAGGGAUAGUAUGGAAAUAGUUUAUGUGUGUGCAAGCACGCAUGUACCAUAGGGGCUGUAAGAAUUUCCCAAGGACGUUCAGCUCACCAUACAGUAUGACAAAGCCAUGCUACAGGCAUCCUGU